UGGGGAAUAUUGCACAAUGGGCGGAAGCCUGAUGCAGCGACGCCGCGUGGGGGAUGAAGGCCUUCGGGUUGUAAACUCCUUUCGACAGGGACGAAGCUUUUGUGACGGUACCUGUAUAAGAAGCACCGGCUAACUACGUGCCAGCAGCCGCGGUAAUACGUAGGGUGCGAGCGUUGCCCGGAAUUACUGGGCGUAAAGAGCUCGUAGGUGGUUUGUCGCGUCGUCUGUGAAAUUCCGGGGCUUAACUCCGGGCGUGCAGGCGAUACGGGCUGACUUGAGUGCUGUAGGGGAGACUGGAAUUCCUGGUGUAGCGGUGAAAUGCGCAGAUAUCAGGAGGAACACCGAUGGCGAAGGCAGGUCUCUGGGCAGUAACUGACGCUGAGGAGCGAAAGCAUGGGUAGCGAACAGGAUUAGAUACCCUGGUAGUCCACGCCGUAAACGAUGAGUGCUAAGUGUUAGGGGGUUUCCGCCCCUUAGUGCUGCAGCUAACGCAUUAAGCACUCCGCCUGGGGAGUACGACCGCAAGGUUG
rnacentral:rRNA from 1 species